rnacentral:rRNA from 1 species
UACAGAGGUCUCAAGCGUUGUUCGGAUUCAUUGGGCGUAAAGGGUGCGUAGGUGGCGCGCUAAGUCAGGUGUGAAAUUUCGGAGCUUAACUCCGAAACUGCAUUUGAUACUGGCGUGCUUGAGGACUGGAGAGGAGACUGGAAUUCAUGGUGUAGCAGUGAAAUGCGUAGAGAUGUGGAGGAACACCGAUGGCGAAGGCAGCCUCCUGGGCUAGUACUGACGCUCAUGCACGAAAGCGUGGGGAGCAAACAGG